rnacentral:lncRNA from 1 species
UGAAUUCACAUAUUACCUCACCGUCAAAUAACACUUGAUUUACUUUUGUUGAUCAUUUGCAGGUGUUGUGUCUGUAACCACACAGUCACCAGCAUCCCCAGCUCAGACCUCCAUGGCAUCAACGCUGACAGUGACAGAACCAACAUCAACACAGCCUUCUCCAGUCACAGCAGCACCUGUGCCUGAUCAACAGAUUAAAUUGGAAUUCAGGCUCCAACAGACCUUCACACCAAACCUGGCGAACCCCGCCUCGACAGAAUUUAAGAGCUUAGCUACAAAAGUUUCAACAGUGUUGAACAGAAUCUACUCUGAUAAGUUUGGCCCC